rnacentral:lncRNA from 1 species
AGGAGCUGAUAACUCUUCUUUUGGUUUCAGAAUGGCAAUUAAUAGCUUGGCACUAGAAAACCACAGACAAUUUGCCGGCGCAUAACUGGAGGCAAAAAGUAUGGACAGUUGCUCUAAUGGAGAAACUUUCGAAACAAGUAACAGCAUUGAAAACUAGAUUUCAAUAUUAGUUUGAUCAAGAUUAGUGAUAGUAUGAUAUACAUUCUGUAUACAGUGAUUUUAAAAAAUAUACACUGCAUACCAUUUAAGAACAGGAGGGACUUUGCAAUAGGCUCACCAUAUAAAAAAGACACAUUAGAGGAGUGUAACAGCAUAAGCAGAUUCUCUGGUACUCUACUGAAAUAAGAAAUGGCGCCCCUGGAUUUAUUCAGUUUUUUCUUCUUCUCUCCUUCAAUGUGUUUUAAAUCUGGGUGCCUUGGGCUUUCUAUACAUUAUUAGAUGUGAUACCCCCACUGCUGAAUAAUGAUUUUCAAUGCAUUCUAAUCAAAUGAUACUAAAGCAACACAGUCAACUAGACUAAAGAAUACAAAUGAAUAUAAUUUCUCUUGCACCAUUAUAAUGCAACGAUUUAUCCCUUACUCUCACUGCGUAAGUCAUUUUGCAUCCUUCAUUUUGAACAGCUGUUAGUUUAAAAAGUAGACACUACACAUUGUAUAUAAGAAAAUAGAUAGGGCAAAUGCAUUUCAAAUGCUUACUUGAGAUACAGCAGCUUAAUAUUCAAAUAUGGCUUAUCUAACUAAAUGCUCACGAGAAGGGAAAAGUACCCCCAGGACAGCUUAGAUAAACUUGGGUGCCAGCCGCAGUUCCUCUGAAACCUCCUGCUUUCCAUUUACAAGUCUAAAGAGCUGGCAAUCUUAUCUUCUGAAACGGUAAUUACUUGGGAAGGCUGGGCUUGAGGGAAGCAGCCCAACAGAACUGUAAGGAUUGGCUGUUUAGUAAAGCCGUGUGUGUGUGGGUGGGUGGGUGGCUGCUAAUAAUUUUCACAAGUAAAGAAAAGGCCUGGUUCAUUUGGAAAAGUAUCAUUCCCCAGCUAGCAUAAGGAUUACCUGCUUCUGAUGACAAUGGCUGGGGGGGAUGAUCUAUUGAUGAAAAUGGUUACAGUUCGGUCCUAAAAAUUUCUGCUCUAAACUUUAAAUUUAGGGCAGGAUUCACCCAACAGCCCUGUCAGUACAAGCCUUGUGUGAGGUCUUCUGCUUGCUCAACGGGGAUUUCCCUCUCUCCUGCUCCACCCAUAGCAUUCUCCAAAGCUCUCCAAACAGCACACAGGAAGAAGAAAAGGAGAAGUGUUCCGUCUGACAAACCGCAGUGUUGGUGCUGAUGGGACGUUCACCAUAGUAAGCAAAACCUGGGGCUGGCUUAAGGAAUUUUGCUGCCAGAAGCAAAGUUUGCCCCCUUGCCAAGUCAAGAUGGACUAGCCAAGUUAUUCCAGCACCUGAGACAGAAAAUGCCACAAGAUCUGCUCUCUUUUCCUGGCAGUUAAACAUACAAUAGUAAUGAAUUAAGCAAGUAAUAAUUUGCCCUUUCAUGACACCCAAGUUCAGCUCCCUGAGGCGGACAUCUCGCUUUGCCUAACGUUAGGACCGGCCUUCUACUGAAUUCAGAGUCUGUAAGUCUGCAUAAGAUUGUAGUCUUCAUGGGAGCAGGCUGUAAGUCAAGUAAAGCAGACUGGUGUUUUCAUUUGGUUUUCUGAAAACUAUAGGUCACGAUAAAACAACACAAUUUAAAGAGUAUUAAAGCUUGCUUUAACAAAUGCCCCUCAACAGUAUCUGGGGUGUUCUCACCCAAGUAAAUAUAUUAUCACAGUUCAAGCACCUCAGAGCGCCUAGAAAUAUAAUUUAA